rnacentral:lncRNA from 1 species
AAAUAACUGGGUUAUUACAUCAUAGUUGUGUCUGAAAAAAAUGUGCUUGCAUGCUUAUUUGGUGUAAAAGCCCCCAUUAAAUUCAUAGAGGUUUCUCCUUUAGUGCUGAUUGGUUAGCGCGCAAUUAAGAUCAUAUUUAAACAGCAGUGACAGGAUUGGAGCAGAGACCUGCAGAAGUUUCAACUGAGUCACGUAUCAUGCUGUCAAUACUUUAAGGGUCUGCCAAAUCAGGCACUGCCAGCAAUGGAGCAUCCUGAAAGAGGAAGUGGCUUCAAAAUGAAGUCGCUCGUGCUCACUUUUUUGUUCCUGGUGAGCUUCAGCAACUCUGUUCCUGUCUCUGAGAAACAUUCUCGUAAAGCUAGAUCUUCAAGCUUUGAGUCUAUGGGAGGAUUUGCACAAGGAAGGUUGACAAAGCCUGUCCGAAGUGCUUUUCCCUACCCUGUCCGAUAUCCAGUCUACAGGUCACAAGCUUCUGCUCUUGGUCACGCUCCUGUACCCCCGCUUAUAGUUCGCCCUCCCAUCCCUCCUCCACCGCCUGCUCCCCGCUUACCUCCCAUCAUAAUUCGUCAGCCUGCCCCUCCCCCCCCUCCUCCCCGGUUACCUCCCAUUAUCAUUUCCCCACCUGCCCCUCCUCCACCAGCACCCCGGCUGCCCCCCAUCAUCAUUCGCGCUCCUGCCCCUCCUCCUCCAGUUCCCCAGCUGCCCCCCAUUAUUGUUCCUGCUCC